CCCCGGUAAACGGCGGCCGUAACUAUAACGGUCCUAAGGUAGCGAAAUUCCUUGUCGGGUAAGUUCCGACCUGCACGAAUGGCGUAAUGAUGGCCAGGCUGUCUCCACCCGAGACUCAGUGAAAUUGAACUCGCUGUGAAGAUGCAGUGUACCCGCGGCAAGACGGAAAGACCCCGUGAACCUUUACUAUAGCUUGACACUGAACAUUGAGCCUUGAUGUGUAGGAUAGGUGGGAGGCUUUGAAGUGUGGACGCCAGUCUGCAUGGAGCCGACCUUGAAAUACCACCCUUUAAUGUUUGAUGUUCUAACGUGGACCCGUAAUCCGGGUUGCGGACAGUGUCUGGUGGGUAGUUUGACUGGGGCGGUCUCCUCCUAAAGAGUAACGGAGGAGCACGAAGGUUGGCUAAUCCUGGUCGGACAUCAGGAGGUUAGUGCAAUGGCAUAAGCCAGCUUGACUGCGAGCGUGACGGCGCGAGCAGGUGCGAAAGCAGGUCAUAGUGAUCCGGUGGUUCUGAAUGGAAGGGCCAUCGCUCAACGGAUAAAAGGUACUCCGGGGAUAACAGGCUGAUACCGCCCAAGAGUUCAUAUCGACGGCGGUGUUUGGCACCUCGAUGUCGGCUCAUCACAUCCUGGGGCUGAAGUAGGUCCCAAGGGUAUGGCUGUUCGCCAUUUAAAGUGGUACGCGAGCUGGGUUUAGAACGUCGUGAGACAGUUCGGUCCCUAUCUGCCGUGGGCGCUGGAGAACUGAGGGGGGCUGCUCCUAGUACGAGAGGACCGGAGUGGACGCAUCACUGGUGUUCGGGUUGUCAUGCCAAUGGCACUGCCCGGUAGCUAAAUGCGGAAGAGAUAAGUGCUGAAAGCAUCUAAGCACG
rnacentral:rRNA from 3 species